GCCGGUUUAACUCAGUUGGUAGAGUGCUGCUCUCAUAAGGCAGAUGUCCUGGGUUCGACUCCCAGAACCGGCA
rnacentral:tRNA from 3 species